UUUCAGAUGGUAUGCCAUGCCCCGUGUUUCUUUUCAAGUUUGUUCCAUGUUGUGUUUUUAAUGAAGUAACAUGAGGCAUGUUAGUUUACUUGUGAGGUCACAUGCCUAGUGCUACCCUUGCACACUGCCCAUUUUUCUUAAAACCCUAAACUUAUCUUUUUCUCUCUAUCCCUUUUCUUCUUCACUCUCGGCAUUACCCAUUCCCCUUUUCUCUCAACACCACACUACCCAGCCUUAUUUCCUUCCAUUUUUCUUUGAAUGGUAAGGCAAAAACACUAUUCCACAAGAAAACCAGUUCAUCCUUCUCGUUGCAAACCACUUUCAAUGGCGAACUCUAGGUCACCUUCCCCAAUUACAAAUCCACUAUCAUGACCACUCUUUUCACAGCCAACACUAUCCUCUCAAUUAUCCACAGACCCUGUUCUUCCUCCCCAACAACAAGAAUUACCUCUAUAACCAACCUUUGAAUCAGAACCUACAACACAAACCUCUGUAAAUCCCUCAACCCUCUCCACCUACAGUACAAUCUGCCCUAAAAACCCAUUUCAAGACAGUUGCUAAGAAGAAAGUGAACCCUAAUUUCAAACUCAAAAAGCCUUCUUCUCCUAGCAAGCGCAAAGAACCCAUUUCUGCCUCUGCUUUGACAACCAAGAAACCUAGGGUUUUCAUUCUUGAACCCAUUAGCAAGAGAACUCGCUCCUCUGUCUCAACCCCAUUGAGUACUCCUCGAAUCCCAGUGUCAAAAUCAGCAUCGGUUGCAUCUUCUAAGGAACCUAGUCCUCAACCCGCUACUGCUAAGUCCAAGUCCAAGGUUUCUGCAUCAAAAGCAGUACCUGUUGCUUCUUUUGGUAAUGAUAUUUUAGAGGAGUUUGGGGAUCUUUGGCCCAUUUUCAUACCGUAGCCGCAGUUGAAGAAACAAGGGAGAAAGCACUUCAAGCUUACAUCUAUCAAAUCUCCUUUUCUUUUAUUGAUUUGAUUUCAAUAUUUAAUUUUCAAUGUUAGGAUGUCUAUUUAUAUUGAAUCAAUUAAUUUGGGUUUUGAUUUCUCUAUUGAUAUGAACUAAGAUUACGUUUGAUAGAGCGUAAUGUAAUGUAAUAUAAUUAAUUAUGUAAUACAAUCAAAAUUAUAAUGUAA